AAUCCAGUUGUUUCGUGCGCUUUGUUGCCUCGGCAGCCUCACCCUUCCUCGUGGAGUGUUUUCGAGGUUUUAGAUAUUUCGGUAGGUUUCACUCGAUUUUGCGAGAACGGAGAAAUAAGCGACGUCCACAGGGCUUUAUUUAAAAACUGCAAUCCUUCGAAUGUGGUCGACUUCGAGCGUAGGACGGCGUACAAGGUGUCUUGGGACGGCGACGCGAACACUCGAGGAGGCUAUUACGACGCCGAGAUCCUCGAACUGACGGGACUACCUGCGGCUCGGCUGUUGAUGCGGGAGGUGCUGUAGGGCCCUACUGCCUAACACUUGCUGACGAGGACAUCCUUGCAAAGAAUGAGAUCGUGGAUCCUAGCAUCGGCCUCCAGAAAAGGAAGGAAUGGGGACACGUUUUCCAGGGAGCCGCGAGCUGAAAUUGGACCCGCAAAGAGCCGCGUGCGGCUCGCGAGCCUCGCUUUGGCCACUCCUGAG
rnacentral:lncRNA from 1 species